rnacentral:rRNA from 1 species
UACGUAGGCAGCAAGCGUUGUUCGGAAUUAUUGGGCGUAAAGAGUAUGUAGGUGGUGUCGUAAGUUUGGUGUGAAAUCUCCUGGCUUAACUGGGAGGGUGCGCCGAAGACUGCGAUGCUUGAGUAUGGGAGAGGGAAUCGGAAUUCCUGGUGUAGCGGUGAAAUGCGUAGAUAUCAGGAGGAACACCUGUGGUGUAGACGGGUUCCUGGACCAUUACUGACACUGAGAUACGAAAGCGUGGGUAGCAAACAGGAUUAGAUACCCUGGUAGUCCACGCCCUAAACGAUGCACACUUGGUGUGAGCCAUUCAGUUGGUUUGUGCCGGAGCUAACGCGUUAAGUGUGCCGCCUGGGGAGUACGGUCGCAAGGCUGAA